UAAGAAGCAACUUUCUUUGGACAUUACCUCCAACAGGUGUGCGGUGGGUCCCCGCCUACAGCAGGUUUGGCCCUUGAAAGCAUCUGUGAAAGAAACAACAAAGAUAGCUGUAUGAUCCCAUUCCCGUGGUCAACUUAAAAAUGAGAGUGACAGCUCCCGGAUUCAUAAGUCAAAUCCUGAACAACGAACCCCUUGUAAGCCUAUUUAAACUCUUUCCGUAACACGCAUUUUACUAAAAGGUCCAUCACCUGGUGCUUGAGCUGAACGAAACCGCUAUCCCCUACUUCAUCUCCUCCAACGAGAAUGAGACAGACAGCAGAAGGCCUGGCUUCAGCGCGCCUCAGCAUCCACAAAGCUCGCUUGGUCUCCACGGCAACCCCGCCAGGGGACUGGCCCUC